GUUGAACGCUGGCGGAAUGCUUUACACAUGCGAGUCGAACGGCAGCACGGACUUCGGUCUGGUGGCGAGUGGCGAACGGGUGAGUAAUGUAUCGGAACGUGCCCAGUCGUGGGGGAUAACGUAGUGAAAAUUACGCUAAUACCGCAUACGAUCUAUGGAUGAAAGCGGGGGAUCGCAAGACCUCGCGCGAUUGGAGCGGCCGAUAUCAGAUUAGGUAGUUGGUGGGGUAAAGGCCCACCAAGCCAACGAUCUGUAGCUGGUCUGAGAGGACGACCAGCCACACUGGAACUGAGACACGGUCCAGACUCCUACGGGAGGCAGCAGUGGGGAAUUUUGGACAAUGGGCGAAAGCCUGAUCCAGCCAUUCCGCGUGCAGGAUGAAGGCCCUCGGGUUGUAAACUGCUUUUGUACAGAACGAAAAGGUUUCUACUAAUACUAGGAACUCAUGACGGUACUGUAAGAAUAAGCACCGGCUAACUACGUGCCAGCAGCCGCAGUAA
rnacentral:rRNA from 1 species